rfam:Myotis lucifugus cont2.368, whole genome shotgun sequence.
GGUGGUUCUCAGGUGACGCACCCUGGAAUCAGGCUCCCUCCUCUCUGGUUCCAGGUGUGUAACCCAAGAACCGCA